GGGCUGACUGCCCCUAGGAAGGAUCCCUUCUGGAGAUCCCUCCUCAGUGGAGUCUUUCUUGUGAACCUAGAUCUUCAGAUACAGGUGACAUGGCAGUCACAUGCCUGAUGCUCAGGAGGACGACUACAGACCACUGCUACUGGAGACUUCCACUGCCCCAGCUACAGGACGGAGUUUUCCUCCAGUCCUUCUGCAGUUGGCCAGGACUCUAUCACUGGUGCUGUCCCAGACUGAGUGUUUAUUAGUGCUGCUUAUGGACAGACCUUUCUUCAUCUGGCUCGGAGGCAGAACUUUCCCUCAGGGUGACUUCCCAGCAGAGCCUGAAGCCAUCAGUCUCUGUGCCAUCACCUCUGUCCUGCUGGACAUAACGCAACUGGGAGCUGGACUGGGAGCUUUGUAUAGGCUGAAAAAUGGCCUUCUCUUCAUGGGAGCAUGUCAGCCAGAGUGCAUGUCUUGAGCAGUGCUCCCUUGACUAACAACUGCAGCCACAGCCUGGCAUGCUGCUGAGUACUUCUGGAUGGACACCCAGGUCUGAGGGCCUCUGGGAUGCAUGAACGCUGGCAGUCUGCCUGGUCCUGGCUGCAGCCUGCGUCCUGGCUUUCAGCUGCUGAUGUUAACUGUGUUGACUGCCUGAUCUCAGGUGGCCCUUUUAGUGACAACUGAUGAUACUUUUCAUGAUAUUAUCAGUAGAUGAUUUUCCUGCCUUGCUACAUGUCUGGACAACUCUUGCCUUAGUCAUAUUCAUAUAUUCUAACUGUUAAUAUUACCUGUUUGCCUUUAUCUGUGGGGAGCUAUAUUUUGUUUCACUCCAGAGCUUUUAUGGCUGUAGCCCUGCACUAUCAUCCUUUAUAUACGCCCAUAACAGCAUGAGGUUUAGGGAGCUUCUUUCCUUUCUUCCUUCCCUUUCUUGAGGUGAAAGAAGUGCUGGUGAUGGCUGGGCUGUGGCCAAGCCUUACAGCCUUCCUGCCUGAGGAGGGAAUUUACCCUUCUGUCCUCCACAUACUUUCUUCAAGAAAAGGACAAACACUGGAAAAUCAUUUCCCUCCAAGAUUUCUAGUGGGAUUUUAAUUACCUAAAGUAGGUUCUUAUUUCCAUGCAACCCAUCUCUUUACAUUUCUCUUAUACACAGAUACAUAAAUACACAUAUUAUAUAUAUGUAUAUAUACAUUUAGGUGUUUAAUUUUGAACAAGCUUUCACAACUGUCCAUAACCAAGGUUGUUUUUUGUUGGCUUCUUACUGCUAAGCCAGGGCUACUAUGUGGUAAUAGAAGAAUGCUUUGCUUGUGGGGCUGAAUGACAGAUUUGUAGCUUAUAGUAAAACUGCCUAUGGGU